CCUACGGGUGGCAGCAGUGGGGAAUAUUGCGCAAUGGGCGAAAGCCUGACGCAGCGACGCCGCGUGAGGGAUGAAGGUCUUAGGAUCGUAAACCUCUGUCAGCAGGGAAGAACGGUCACUGUGCUAAUCAGCAGUGAAUUGACGGUACCUACAAAGGAAGUACCGGCUAACUCCGUGCCAGCAGCCGCGGUAAUACGGAGGGUGCGAGCGUUAAUCGGAAUUACUGGGUGUAAAGCGCUCGUAGGCGGUAUGUCAAGUCAAGGGUGAAAUCCCCGCGCUCAACGUGGGAACUGCCUUUGAAACUGGCAAACUUGAGUGUUGGAGAGGAGAGUGGAAUUCGAGGUGUAGGAGUGAAAUCCUUAGAUAUCUGGAGGAACACCAGUGGCGAAGGCGACUAUCUGGCACAUAACUGACGCUGAGGAGCGAAAGCGUGGGUAGCAAACAGGAUUAGAUACCCUGGUAGUC
rnacentral:rRNA from 1 species